GAAUCAUUUGGCACAAUCAAUUGUUACAAUCCUUUUUCAAGCUAGAUUCACUAUAUCGUAUACAGUGUCGCCAUGAAAUUCAUUUCCAUCUAUUUUAUUCUAAUCCUGAUGGGCAUUCUAAUUUGUCCACCUUUGUGUCUUGCAAAUGAAUCGUCAGGGCUCUCCGCCACAUGCACAAAAGACGAUGAUUGUAAAUUUCUAGUGGAAUUGAAUUACAGUUGUUUCAAGCCUAAUGGAUCCGACCCUGGCUAUUGUGCACCAUCUGCAGCAUUUCAUUCCACUAUAUAACAUUUAUUAGUUAUGAGAAACUAGCAUAAUUAAGCUAUUAUAUCUUUCGAUCUGAAAUGAAUAAAUGAAAAUCAUACUUCAAAUACGA